rnacentral:tRNA from 1 species
GCGGAUGUAGCGCAGCUGGUAGCGCGGCGCCUUUCCAAGGCGAAGGUCGUAGGUUCGAGUCCUGCCGUCCGCUCAA